CAGCCGCCGCGGUAAUUCGGAGGAUGCGAGCGUUAUCCGGAUUUAUUGGGUUUAAAGGGUGCGUAGGCGGAUUAAUAAGUCAGUGGUGAAAACCUUCAGCUUAACUGGAGAACUGCCAUUGAUACUGUUAGUCUUGAGUACGGUCAAGGUAGGCGGAAUGUGUAAUGUAGCGGUGAAAUGCUUAGAUAUUACACAGAACACCGAUUGCGAAGGCAGCUUACUGGGCCAUUACUGACGCUGAUGCACGAAAGCGUGGGGAGCGAACAGGAUUAGAUACCCUGGUAGUCCACGCCGUAAACGAUGAUCACUCGCUGUUAGCGAUACACAGUUAGCGGCUAAGCAAAAGCAUUAAGUGAUCCACCUGGGGAGUACGGCCGCAAGGCUGAAACUCAAAGGAAUUGACGG
rnacentral:rRNA from 1 species